UCUACGGGAGGCAGCAGUGGGGAAUCUUGCACAAUGGGCGAAAGCCUGAUGCAGCAACGCCGCGUGCGGGAAGACGGCCCUAGGGUUGUAAACCGCUUUCAGCAGGGAAGAAACUGACGGUACCUGCAGAAGAAGAUGCGGCCAACUACGUGCCAGCAGCCGCGGUGACACGUAGGCAUCAAGCGUUAUCCGGAUUUAUUGGGCGUAAAGAGCUCGUAGGCGGUUCGGUUAGUCGGGUGUGAAAACUCUGGGCUCAACCCAGAGACGCCACCCGAUACUGCUGUGACUAGAGUGCGGUAGGGGAGUGGGGAACUCCUGGUGCAGCGGUGAAAUGCGCAGAUAUCAGGAAGAACACCAGUGGCGAAGGCGCCACUCUGGGCCGUAACUGACGCUGAGGAGCGAAAGCGUGGGUAGCAAACAGGAUUAGAUACCCUGGUAGUCCACGCCGUAAACGUUGGGCACUAGGUGUGGGUUCCAACCAACGGGAUCCGCGCCGUCGCUAACGCAUUGAGUGCCCCGCCUGGGGAGUACGGCCGCAAGGCUAAAACUCAAAGGAAUUGACGGA
rnacentral:rRNA from 1 species